CUUUCCCUCUUUCUUUAGGCCUAACACAUGCAAGUCGAACGGCAGCACAGUAAGAGCUUGCUCUUACGGGUGGCGAGUGGCGGACGGGUGAGGAAUACAUCGGAAUCUACUUUUUCGUGGGGGAUAACGUAGGGAAACUUACGCUAAUACCGCAUACGACCUACGGGUGAAAGCCGGGGAUCUUCGGACCUUGCGCGAUUGAAUGAGCCGAUGUCGGAUUAGCUAGUUGGCGGGGUAAAGGCCCACCAAGGCGACGAUCCGUAGCUGGUCUGAGAGGAUGAUCAGCCACACUGGAACUGAGACACGGUCCAGACUCCUACGGGAGGCAGCAGUGGGGAAUAUUGGACAAUGGGCGCAAGCCUGAUCCAGCCAUACCGCGUGGGUGAAGAAGGCCUUCGGGUUGUAAAGCCCUUUUGUUGGGAAAGAAAAGCAGCAGGUUAAUACCCCGCUGUUCUGACGGUACCCAAAGAAUAAGCACCGGCUAACUUCGUG
rnacentral:rRNA from 1 species